UUGAACGCUGGCGGCAGGCCUAACACAUGCAAGUCGAGCGGAUGAAGGGAGCUUGCUCCUGGAUUCAGCGGCGGACGGGUGAGUAAUGCCUAGGAAUCUGCCUGGUAGUGGGGGAUAACGUCCGGAAACGGGCGCUAAUACCGCAUACGUCCUGAGGGCGACAGUGUGGGAUCUUCGGACCUCACGCUAUCAGAUGAGCCUAGGUCGGAUUAGCUAGUUGGUGGGGUAAAGGCCUACCAAGGCGACGAUCCGUAACUGGUCUGAGAGGAUGAUCAGUCACACUGGAACUGAGACACGGUCCAGACUCCUACGGGAGGCAGCAGUGGGGAAUAUUGGACAAUGGGCGAAAGCCUGAUCCAGCCAGGCCGCGUGUGUGAAGAAGGUCUUCGGAUUGGAAAGCACUUUAAGUUGGGAGGAAGGGCAGUAAGUUAAUACCUUGCUGUUUUGACGGUACCAACAGAAUAAGCACCGGCUAACUUCGUG
rnacentral:rRNA from 1 species